GAUGAACGCUGGCGGCGUGCCUAAUACAUGCAAGUCGAGCGAAGCGGGGACGGGUGAGUAACACGUGGAUAACCUCCUAUAAGACUGGGAUAACUUCGGGAAACCGGAGCUCCACCCGAUACUGAUCGAUGGAUCCGCGCUGCAUUAGCUAGUUGGUAAGGUAACGGCUGACCAAGGCAACGAUGCAUAGCCGACCUGAGAGGGUGAUCGGCCACACUGGAACGGAGACACGGGCCAGACUCCUACGGGAGGCAGCAGUAGGGAAUCUGCCGCAAUGGGCGAAAGCCUGACGGAGCAACGCCGCGUGAGUGAUGAAGGUCUUCGGAUCGUAAAACGCUGUUAGCAGGGAAGCGGUACCUAAUCAGAAAGCCACGGCUAACUACGUGCCAGCAGCCGCGGUAAUUC
rnacentral:rRNA from 1 species